CUCCUCCUCUUUCAAAAGCGACAUCACAACAGUGAAAAAUUCAAUAAAUAACAUCUGGAAAAACACAACAGGUGAACGUCCAGUAAUGUGAUGAUCAAGAUUGUAACCAACACCAACGGGUGAACGUCUGAUAGUGUGAUGAUCUUCAUGGAUUGAGUAGCAGUCCGGGUAGUUUCCUGAAGAAGCUCCAGAAUGUCAUGGAAUUAAACUGAAAUGAGA